rnacentral:rRNA from 1 species
CGGCGUGCCUAAAACAUGCAAGUCGAGCGGUUAAGGCUUUGCACUUUAGUGUUUUGAUCGAGAUAAUUUAUUAUCACAGUUUAACCAAUCGGAACCUUGGCGGGGGAAGUGCGGAAGAGGAAGAUCGAAUUAUAAGUGUAGAGUACACGAGCGGCGGACGGGUGAGUAACACGUGGGAAUCUACCCCAAACUGAGGGAUAAGCACCGGAAACGGUGUCUAAUACCGCAUAUGGUCUUCGGAUUAAAGCUUCGGCGGUUUUGGGAAGAGCCCGCGCAAGGUUAGCUAGUUGGUGAGGUAAAGGCUCACCAAGGCGACGAUCUUUAGCUGGUUUGAGAGGAUGAUCAGCCACACUGGAACUGAGACACGGUCCAGACUCCUACGGGAGGCAGCAGUUAGGAAUUUUCCACAAUGGGCGCAAGCCUGAUGGAGCAACGCCGCGUGCAGGAUGAAGGUUUUCGGAUUGUAAACUGCUUUUAUAAGUGAAGAAUAUGACGGUAACUUAUGAAUAAGGAUCGGCUAACUCCGUG